rnacentral:rRNA from 1 species
UUUAAAUGUAAAUUUUAGAACUAAAUUAGUAAUAGAUAUGAUCUUCAAAUUUAAAGAUUUUGGCGGUAUUUUAGUCUAUUCAGAGGAACCUGUUCUGUAAUUGAUAGUCCACGAUUAACUUUACUUAAUUUUAAAAAUUUGUAUAUCGUUGUUUAUAGAAAAUUUUAUAAGAAAAAUAAUUUUUAAUAAAUUUUAUUAAAUUAUAAAUCAAAUCAAGGUGCAGUUUAUAGUUAAGUUAGAAAUGGGUUACAAUAAAUUUAUUUAUUAAUGGAUAUAAAUUUUAAAAUUUUAUUAAAGGUGGAUUUGAUAGUAAUAUUAUUUAAUUAAAUAAUAUGAUUAUAGCUCUAAAAUAUGU